UCGCCAUUUUGUAGUGCUGUCCGAAUGUAUAGUGAUAAUUAUUAUGCCCUAUAUAGUCCAGUUUUACUAAAAAUGAUGGCGAAUCGAAAAUGUGCUCAAACGUUUUCGGAGUUGUGACUCAGCGGGGGGAGCAAAUCAGACGGCCGACCAGAUCAGCUCACAGAGCCCUCAGAGAGUCCAGCAACAACGGCAGAGUAAAGACCCACAGCUGUAUGGUGGUUUUAACGAGAUCAGGCUGGGAAGUGGACUGAAUGAGAGCAGAGACACUUGUGGUAAACCUCAGGUGUCUGACUGGUGUCCACCUCAACAGCAGCACCUGAAUCUGACCAGCAGGGGGCACAACAACACGUCACACACUCAGACUGCUGCUGCUUCAUCCAUCCAUCCUCUCGUCCCUCUCCUC